UUCUAGAUGGCCGAGUUAGUCUAAGGUGCCAAUUUCAGGUACUGGUCCGAAAGGGCAUGGGUUCAACUCCCAUUCUUGAAA
rfam:Ipomoea nil DNA, scaffold: scaffold2792, cultivar: Tokyo-kokei standard.